rnacentral:rRNA from 1 species
UCGGAUUGAUACUAAGCCAUGCGGGUCAUUGUAGCAAUACAAGGCAUACGGCUCAGUAACGCGUAGUCAACCUAACCUAUGGACGGGAAUAACCUCGGGAAACUGAGAAUAAUGCCCGAUAGAACACUAUACCUGGAAUGGUUUGUGUUCCAAAUGAUUUAUCGCCAUAGGAUGGGACUGCGGCCUAUCAGUUUGUUGGUGAGGUAAUGGCCCACCAAGACUAUUACAGGUACGGGCUCUGAGAGGAGUAGCCCGGAGAUGGGUACUGAGACACGGACCCAGGCCCUAUGGGGCGCAGCAGGCGAGAAAACUUUGCAAUGUGCGAAAGCACGACAAGGUUAAUCCGAGUGAUUUGUGCUAAACGAAUCUUUUGUUAGUCCUAGAAACACUAACGAAUAAGGGGUGGGCAAGUUCUGGUGUCAGCCGCCGCGGUAAAACCAGCACCUCAAGUGGUCAGGAUGAUUAUUGGGCCUAAAGCAUCCGUAGCCGGCUCUGUAAGUUUUCGGUUAAAUCUGUACGCUUAACGUACAGGCUGCCGGGAAUACUGCAGAGCUAGGGAGUGGGAGAGGUAGACGGUACUCGGUAGGAAGUGGUAAAAUGCUUUGAUCUAUCGAUGGCCACCUGUGGCGAAGGCGGUCUACCAGAACACGUCCGACGGUGAGGGAUGAAAGCUGGGGGAGCAAACCGGAUU